rnacentral:lncRNA from 1 species
AAGUGGUUGGAGUCAUGUUAAAUUUUAUAUGACUUGUAAUAGCAUUUCAUGUUUUAUGCUUUUUGAUGUAUGGAUGCAUCAAGCAUACAGGUGCUUCAAUCAUAUUAGACCUCAUUCAAUUUUUUUAACAAGUGACAGAGCAAACUUAAAUUGAAUCACAUCAUGUGAUAGAAGAUGCAAUAUAAAUGAAUGGAAAAGAUUAGGGAAC